UUCCUUAAUGUUCUAUUAUUUUCUAGAUCAGAAGAUGAAUAUUUCGAUACAAAAUCAAACAUAAGUAUCGAAUCUGAGGAAACGGGGAAAAACAAGGAAGAAAGUGAUGAGGAGGAAUUUUUUGAUGCAUUGGGAACCCAGGAAGAGGAGCUACCUGUCAAAAAAACUGAAAACGAAACUGCUCCAAGCGAGAUGAAUGACACAGCAUAUCUGGAUUCAGAUUUUGGCCAAUUACCUCCAAAGUCGAUCAUUAAAAUCAGUCUCCUCUUUGCGAAGCCUGUUUGCCCUCAGAAAAGAAUUCAAUCCAAGUAUUUUGUCAACAAUACAAAAAAGAAAAUAAUAGUCAUUGGAUUUGUGGAAGAGUAAAACUAUACAUUUUAGACUGAGUCAUAGUGAGACAUGCCAUCCUGCCUCUUCAGUUAAAAUGAAGACAUUUCUGGACGGAAGUAAACAUCCUCUCAACCAUCAUUUUGUUAUCAUACUAAGUAAUUCCGUUAAAUGCUUUGACAAUCCUGAUCUCACCAGCUUUUUAACACCUGUGUGCCACUACUUCUAACAAUAUUUGUAAUUCUACGGUUAGUCCUGAAACUGUCCUCAAGAAUUGUCAUUAAAAUAUAAGAGGCUCAUUGAACCUUUGUACUUUGUGCUUAUUCUAUUACUUAUUCUAUAUACCUUAUAGAGUUUUAAAACUCUUAAGUAGAAGCAAGCAUUUAGUGUAGUGAUUAGGGUGAUGCUUGGAUUCCUGCAUCUCUUAUUAUAGUGAAUGAGUUCAAGUCCUGGUUCUACUUCCAAUUCUAGCUUCCAACUAGUGCCUACGCUGAGAUGCAGCAGGUGACGAUUCAAGUACUUGGGUUUCUCCCAUCCAUGUGGAUUGAGUUCUGGGUUCCUGAGACCCAACUGUUUCUAGCAUUUGUGGAGAGAACCAGCAAAUAGAAAAACCUUUCUCUCUCUGUCAAUCUCACUUUACCUCACUUUACUUCUGCCUUCCAAAUGGAUAAAUAAAUAAAAAAUAAAACUAUACCA
rnacentral:lncRNA from 1 species